UACGGAGGGGGCUAGCGUUGUUCGGAAUUACUGGGCGUAAAGCGCACGUAGGCGGCUUUGUAAGUUAGAGGUGAAAGCCCGGAGCUCAACUCCGGAAUUGCCUUUAAGACUGCAUCGCUAGAAUUGUGGAGAGGUAAGUGGAAUUCCGAGUGUAGAGGUGAAAUGCGUAGAGAUCGGGAGGAAGGCCGGUGGCGAAGGCGGCGCUCUGGAACGUUUCUGACACUGAGGCUCGAAAGCGUGGGGAGCAAACAGG
rnacentral:rRNA from 1 species